rnacentral:tRNA from 1 species
GCCCGUGUAGCUUAGUGGUAAAGCAGCGCUUUCGUAAAGCGACGACGGAGGUUCGAUUCCUCCCAUGGGCU